rnacentral:rRNA from 1 species
AUUGAACGCUGGCGGCAGGCCUAACACGUGCAAGUCGAGCGGAUGAAGGGAGCUUGCUCCUGGAUUCAGCGGCGGACGGGUGAGUAAUGCCUAGGAAUCUGCCUGGUAGUGGGGGAUAACGUCCGGAAACGGGCGCUAAUACCGCAUACGUCCUGAGGGAGAAAGUGGGGGAUCUUCGGACCUCACGCUACCAGAUGAGCCUAGGUCGGAUUAGCUAGUUGGUGGGGUAAAGGCCUACCAAGGCGACGAUCCGUAACUGGUCUGAGAGGAUGAUCAGUCACACUGGAACUGAGACACGGUCCAGACUCCUACGGGAGGCAGCAGUGGGGAAUAUUGGACAAUGGGCGAAAGCCUGAUCCAGCCAUGCCGCGUGUGUGAAGAAGGUCUUCGGAUUGUAAAGCACUUUAAGUUGGGAGGAAGGGCAGUAAGUUAAUACCUUGCUGUUUUGACGUUACCAACAGAAUAAGCACCGGCUAACUUCGUG